UCUCAGUAAGUCUCAUCCGAACUGAUCUUCCAUUAAACACAUUCAGCUGCGCUCGCUCCGUUCAGGUACGAUUUGGCAUGAAAGAUUUGUAGGCUUAUAGGUAUGCUAUUAAUUAUUGUUGGAUGGAAGUAAAAUUUCUCUCUGUUCUUCUCUCCCGGUUGUGCUGCAGGUACUACCAUUUUUUUGAUUCUGUCUCAAGAAAACAACCACAAGCUCUUUUGCUUGAUUCCCAAUUUUGCGUAUAUAUAGCUUUGGUUGUUCUUACCUAGCCUUUUAUACCCACCAUAAAUAUUUCUUGUUAUGAUUAUUUGUUUUGCGUUCUUGAUUAUUUGAUUUGUGUUCUUAAUUGGGACAAGCUAGGAGGAACAAACAUUAUUUAGCUUCCGGAUCUUCGUUUCGAAUGACUCGAUGUGGCCUUGGUGACGGCGCUGCUAGAUAGUUCAUUGAUGGCAGCAACAAGCAGUCCGAAGGUAUAGGAAUACUACAUCAAGAAGAACGAUCGGGUAGAGCUUAUCGCAAUACUUGGACUAUUUGGACUGCUUGUCAGUACAAUUCAGAUGUAUCCUCUACACAGUUCAUUAUUAAUAGCAGACCCACAGAGGAAAAUUGUCAUAAUUCAUUGAUAUUGCCAUCUAUAGAUUUGAUCUUAUUAUUGCGUAGUUAAAAUAUCACUACCUUUUUUCUGGAACACAAAUUUCUUGACAGUACUCUCCUGGAGCAAAUAUUCAUGUGACCACCUAAACUUACAAAAUAUCAGAUUUUCUACAAAUGGUACAUGUAAGUUAUUGCAAGAGCAUUAUCCAGCGGAACCUUUUUAUAUCUAGAUUUAGUACAAAGUACAAAUAAGAGCGUAGUUACAAUCAUCCAUGAAGACCAAUCUCAUAUCUGCAUUUAGUACUAACAAAAGUUUGGUUAACACAUAAAGCUCCCUAAAAUAGGGGAUAAAAGAUUAAGGUGUCUUACUAUUGGAGAUGUCAUGAGAAUACAGAGUUUGUGCCACCUGCCUUCUGAAAAUGAUGUGCUAUGUACAUAUAAGCUACCUAUAUAGGUCCAGUUUGGACUGUAUUUGUGUAGACCGAUCAGAUUUCCAGUCUAUUUCUUUGUUGUGUUGUAUAGCAUUGCCAUGUUUAAUUCAAGAGAUUAUCCUGUGUGGACAUCAUAUGCUAAUAUGUAUAUCAUGUCAUGAUUAUUCUAUAGUAUCAUCAUUAUGAAAAAAAUAAUUUGUCCCACUGUUAAAUUUGAUACACCUGUACACGAUGUCAUAUUUAUCUUUUCGUGCUGGUCUUGACAAAAUUUAAUUUGUUCCACUCUUAAAUUUGAUACACCAGUCUUCCAAAUUAUCCAUUAAAUCAUUUGUUAGCAGGGCCAAAUUAUAGAAGCUGAAAGAGUUGUUCCAAAUUAUCCAGUUCAAAUGCUAUACAACACAGCAAAGCUGUUCCAAUCUUAGAAGCUUCUACAGAGUAUUUGUUUUUUGUACUACUUGGUUGAUGAAAUGAUUUCCUUAUAAGCUGGGAUAAGGCGUUUGUAGUUGGUAUUUAUACACAAGCUCAAUAAUUUUCAGGCUCAUCUCAUCUCACGUUAUUUUUCGGUUUGUUGUAUGCUCACCGGCGUUCUGUUUCGAGAUAUUGAUUGGGUGUUGGGUAUGGGUGUUUGCAGGUGGGCCUACUUUAUUCCCGGCUCUGAUGUCAGUGGACAUGCACCGUUCUUGUGUGGAUUUGAGCGUCGUGGCAUGUGGUGGCUCUUUGUCAGACGCAUCAACGGCUGGUGUUGUCACCAGGCUUCUUCUUGUGUCCAUACGAAAGCGAGGUUGUACUACCAUCAAAAUGCUCAAUCCCAUGGAGACUGCCAAGUUCCGCCUCAUCAUGAAACAGGCCAAGGCCCUCAAGAUCUGCAACAAUCAUCGCCUUCACACCAAGAAACGCCAGCCUGCAGCUACAUGGUUUGGUCGUGCCGUUAACUGCCUAUCUUGACGACAUUGACGUUGAAUUUAUCGACCCUCCAAAGAAUGAGAUGUUAGAUGUCGCAGAACUCGUCGGUGAUGUUACUGAGCAUUCACGGAAACCAAAUGUCAUAGUUUCUACCAAUGUGCGUGAACUAUUGGAAUGCCCUGUGUGUUUGGUUCACAUGUAUCCUCUAAUUCAUCAGAUUGCAGCACUCUCCUAUGUUGGAAGAUGGUACAAGAAAUGUGCAUGCCGCACUAAGCUAUUUGCAUGAAGCACUAUUAUUAGUACUUACAGAAGCUGCUAACUAAAAGGGUGUCCACCUCCUGUGAUGGAUAUUUUCGCUGUAGAACUUAUCCUAACUGGAUGUUAGAAUAUACCCACUCCGUCCAGAAAUACUUGUCGGAGAAAUGGAUGCAUCUAGACGUAUUAUAGUCUGGAAAUACUUAUUGGACAAAUGGAUUUUCAUCCUUAUGCUAACUAGAUGUUAGAAUAUAUAUCAUCCAUGUGAGAAUCUAUAAUUUUCA